rnacentral:lncRNA from 1 species
GAGAGUUGAUUUUUUUUUCUUCGUAAAUUAUUGUUUCUGGUGGAGGUACCAACAAAUAAUCCUGAAGAAAAUGGAUUUGAUCCUACUACUCAGGUACGCUUUCCCAUGAUGAACAUCAACGACGCAAGUACAACCCAGUAUUAUUUAUUUUGUGAUUCCAAUAUGUUUUGAUUUUUGAGUUUGGUUAAAAACAAUUUUAUAAAAAUAUUUCUUUUUUUUGUUUAAUUUCUUUUUUUUGUUGUUGUAGUAGUUGUUGAAUAUUUGUUUAUUGGUGUUAUUCAAUAGUCUUUCACAUCCGGAAACCCUCUUCACAGAUUAUGAUGCAAUCCUAUCUGGAACCUAGGGAUGAGGUCAGUUUCAAGGUGAGUUUUUGUACCUUAAAUAAAUUCAGAAGAAAUUCUCUCUUUUCUAAUUUCGUAGUCCCACGUAGUUAGUAUGAAGGUAUAUUUGGAGGACUGCAUGGUAAUUAUGAGGUUUAUAUGGAGGUUUGGUCUAUAUAGAAUUGAUUUUGGCCCUUACAAGGUGUAACAUCACCAGAUUUCAACCUCCCUUGUCUUUUUGUUUGAAAGCUUUACUUUUAUGAAACAUCAAAAUGAGUCUGCUUUGGACUAUGGGUAUGAUAAGCUAAAUACUUGGUAUUUUUAUGACUCGUAAGUUUUCUGAUUUUUUAGGAGUAUGCAUAUGCAUACCCUUUAAUUAUUUACAUUUUUGUUAUAUAUACCUUUUACAAUUAUAUAUAGUUCUCAAGUCAAGUACAGAAUCAUCAAAUCUUUGUCUCAUGUGGUCAUAACCCUCUUCGCAGUGAAAAGAGCAUGGAUUGAGGAAGAGUUUACAUUAUGGAAGAAAACAGGUCCAGUUUGAUAUUUAUCUUUUUUAAUUCUAAUUAAGAAAAGUAGGUUCAUUUUGUGUUUGUUAGAGACUUGCAACCAUCUAAACUUGUCAAAUUUUGUCUUGUGUUUUUAAUCAUCUAAAGUUGCUGGGUCUUUUUGUUAUAAUAAUCUGGGUGAUAUAACAGAGAAUAGUAAUGUAUCAAAACUUGUAGGGAAG